GAUGAACGCUGGCGGCGUGCCUAAUACAUGCAAGUCGAGCGAACGGACGAGAAGCUUGCUUCUCUGAUGUUAGCGGCGGACGGGUGAGUAACACGUGGAUAACCUACCUAUAAGACUGGGAUAACUUCGGGAAACCGGAGCUAAUACCGGAUAAUAUUUUGAACCGCAUGGUUCAAAAGUGAAAGACGGUCUUGCUGUCACUUAUAGAUGGAUCCGCGCUGCAUUAGCUAGUUGGUAAGGUAGCGGCUUACCAAGGCAACGAUGCAUAGCCGACCUGAGAGGGUGAUCGGCCACACUGGAACUGCGACACGGUCCAGACUCCUACGGGAGGCAGCAGUAGGGAAUCUUCCGCAAUGGGCGAAAGCCUGACGGAGCAACGCCGCGUGAGUGAUGAAGGUCUUCGGAUCGUAAAACUCUGUUAUUAGGGAAGAACAUAUGUGUAAGUAACUGUGCACAUCUUGACGGUACCUAAUCAGAAAGCCACGGCUAACUACGUG
rnacentral:rRNA from 1 species